rnacentral:misc_RNA from 1 species
AACGCACCUUGCACUCCUUGGUAUUCCGAGGAGUAUGCCUGUUUGAGUGUCAUUAAUAUAUCAACCUCUCAAGCUUUUUGCUUGUGGAGUGUAUGGAUGUGGGGGGAUUAUUUUGCUGGCCUUUUAAUGAGGUCGGCUCCCCUGAAAUGCAUUGGCAGAAUCAUAUUGCUGACCGUUUAUUGGUGUGAUAACUAUCUAUGCUGUUGACGUGAAGCAAGUUCAGCUUAUAAUGGUCCAUUGACUUGGACAACAUAUUUAUUAAUGUGACCUCAAAUCAGGUAGGACUACCCGCUGAACUUAA